UACGUAGGGGGCAAGCGUUGUCCGGAUUUACUGGGCGUAAAGCGCGUGUAGGCGGCUACGCAGGUCCGUUGUGAAAACUCGAGGCUCAACCUCGAGACGUCGGCGGAAACCAUCUGGCUAGAGUCCGGAAGAGGAAAGUGGAAUUCCUGGUGUAGCGGUGAAAUGCGCAGAUAUCAGGAAGAACACCCGUGGCGAAGGCGGCUUUCUGGGACGGUACUGACGCUGAGACGCGAAAGCGUGGGGAGCGAACAGG
rnacentral:rRNA from 1 species